GAAAGCUAACAUGGCAGUCGAGGGGCAGCGGGUAAGUAGCUUGCUACUUAUGCCGGCGACCGGCGGACGGGUGCGCAUCGCGUAUGUAACCUACCUUUGACAGGGGGAUAACAUCGACAAAUUGGUACUAAUACCCCAUAACAUCACCGGAGGCAUCUUCGGUGGUUGAAAACUCAGGUGGUCAGAGAUGGACAUGCGUUGUAUUAGCUAGUUGGUGAGGUAACGGCUCACCAAGGCGACGAUACAUAGGGGGACUGAGAGGUCAACCCCCCACAUUGGUACUGAGACACGGACCAAACUCCUACGGGAGGCAGCAGUGAGGAAUAUUGGUCAAUGGACGCAAGUCUGAACCAGCCAUGCCGCGUGCAGGAAGACGGCUCUAUGAGUUGUAAACUGCUUUUGUACGAGGGUAAAUCCCGAUACGUGUAUCGGGUUGAAAGUAUCGUACGAAUAAGGAUCGGCUAACUCCGUGCCAGCAGCCGCGGUAAUACGGAGGAUUCAAGCGUUAUCCGGAUUUAUUGGGUUUAAAGGGUGCGUAGGCGGUUCGAUAAGUUAGAGGUGAAAUCCCGGGGCUCAACUCCGGCACUGCCUCUGAUACUGUCGGGCUAGAGUUUAGUUGCGGUAGGCGGAAUGUAUGGUGUAGCGGUGAAAUGCAUAGAGAUCAUACAGAACACCGAUUGCGAAGGCAGCUUACCAAACUACGACUGACGUUGAGGCACGAAAGCGUGGGGAGCAAACAGGAUUAGAUACCCUGGUAGUCCACGCAGUANACGAUGAUAACUGGUUGUCGGCGAUAUAAUG
rnacentral:rRNA from 1 species